CAGUCGCCGCGGUAAUACGAAGGGUGCAAGCGUUACUCGGAAUUACUGGGCGUAAAGCGUGCGUAGGUGGUGGUUUAAGUCCGUUGUGAAAGCCCUGGGCUCAACCUGGGAAUUGCAGUGGAUACUGGGUCACUAGAGUGUGGUAGAGGAUAGUGGAAUUUCCGGUGUAGCAGUGAAAUGCGUAGAGAUCGGAAGGAACAUCUGUGGCGAAGGCGACUAUCUGGGCCAACACUGACACUGAGGCACGAAAGCGUGGGGAGCAAACAGGAUUAGAUACCCGAGUAGUUCCUGUCUCUUAUAC
rnacentral:rRNA from 1 species